AUUAAAACUAGUGAAUUUUUUUUGUCCUACUUAGGAGUUACUUGGUUUCAACCUGCUGACGGGUACUGGGGUUUUAAUUGCAAUUUGUUUGUGAUUCCUGGCAGAGGAAGUCUAAACCCUUGCUACUCCAGGCGUGGCCCUUGAACCAGCAGCCUCACAUAGAAGCCCAUUGGAAAUGCAGGUUCUCGGGCCCUGUCCCAACCUGCUGAAUCGGGAUCUUUGUUUUAGUAUUUUUCUCAGAUAGAAUUUGAGAGGCACUGAACCGUGUAGUUUGGGCGGUGGAAAAUUCUCUCAGCAUGUCAGCAAAGAGGUAAAGAGAGAAGGGCCAUUAUCUUUCUUCAAGGAAUACAUAUAUCUCCUGUGCAGGGGAGUGUGUGAUGAUGGCCAAAUGAACGGAAGGAUAGGAGGCCAGCAGAAGCCCAGAGCAAGACCAGGCAAGGAGAGAGUGGGCAUUUCUCAUUCCUGUCUGACCGGCUCUACUUUCUCACUUCCAGUCAUCUGCUCUUCCUUGGAGGACACACCUCCCCCAGGCCAGGUGGUCAGGGUGAGGUUAUCAGUCACAGUCCCCUUCCUACCAAGACUCAGUCCCAGGAAGGGCCACUGGAUUGUGUGAAGACUGUGAGCUGUGUCCACUGCAUUUCUCCAGCCCAUGCAACCCGGCAUCACGAGGAAGGGGGUAUGGGGUCCAAGCUGCCACAGUGAGACCCAGGAAAGGAAAGACGAACCUCUUUUCCAAGGUAGGUUGGAAGAAAACACUUGUGAGGCCUGACAUGCUUGUCAAUGGAGGGAGCAUGUGACCCCCCUGGCCAGGACUAGAGGGUGACAGGCAAGUGCCUGGAGCACAGCAUUUAAGGAGACCCUUGCCUGGCCUUGCAAGUGAAUACUUUCUAAAAGUUUGCACCCCAGCCCCACCCUACUUGAAGGUCAGCCCAUAACUUGACAUUGAAAUUUUGGUUUCCCCCAAAGAAGUCACCUGAGUCAGAACCAUUGUUUCAUUCCAUGAUCUGAAGGAGACACCUGCACAAUAGCCAGGUGACGGCCCAGAAACCUCUGUUAACACCUGCUUGCCAGUGGUCCCGCCGUGGGGAGCAAGCCUGCCUCCCCUCACCAAGGCGGGAUUCAUGCUGCUGGUACAGUGUCCGGGGGACUCCCGCCCGGCCCUCCCAGCUGCCAGGAGGCGGUGCCCGCCCACGCCAGCUGCCAGGCUGGCCUCUCCGUGCUCCAGAGCCGCACAGCUCUGAACAGCGGCAGCAGGUGGGAGCCCCACCGGGGAACGCAAUGAAACUCACAGCCGUAAACGAGUUUAUUAUUGUUGUUAACUGGGGAAAUAAAUGUCUCAAGCA
rnacentral:lncRNA from 10 species